AUGAGCAGCAGAUCUACUCGCCGGAGGCACAGUGCCAUCAUAAACCCGUGCAGGUGCGAGGCCCUGGUUUUACUGAUGGGAGGAGUAGAAAAUAGUUUACUGUCAGCUUUUCUCUUCUGCAGGGUUUUCUUGAUCAUUUGCACCAGCCCCAGCCCAUCUUACAAAAAUUGCAUGCCCAGUACAACUACACUGGUAAAUCGCAUUUUCAACGCAAAAGGCGCUGUUAGAGAAAAAAGCGAGCCCGAUCCAAUGGAUGACAAAUUGACCGGCAGGCCGAGGCUACAGCACGGACGCAUGUGUGUUGAUUGGACACUGCACUGCUGGGUGGAGUUUAGUAGUAGGAGUAGUACUGGUUGCUCUCGCAAUCGCAGAUAA
rnacentral:rRNA from 1 species